GUGAAUGUAGCUCAGUUGGUUAGAGCGUCGGAUUGUGGUUCCGAAGGUCGCCGGUUCGAGCCCGGUCUUUCACCCCA
rnacentral:tRNA from 1 species